rnacentral:lncRNA from 1 species
CUUGCAUCAGCAUGACCUGGAUGUGAGAUUUUGGAGCUAUAAGAUUUGACUGCCUCUCUGAAUUUGGGACUUUCAUGAGGCUCAUAGGUAGAAGGAAUUUGCCUUGUCUCAGAUGAAACUUUGGACUUGGAUCUUUUGGUUAAUGCUGGAAUGAGUUAAGACUUUGGGGGACUGUUGGAAAGGCAUGAUUGUGUUUUGAAAUGUGAGGACAUGAGAUUUCAGAGGGGCCAGGGGUAGAAUCAGGGGUAGAAUGAUAUGGUUUAGCUGUGUCCUCAGCCAAAACCUCAUCUUGAAUUGUAAUCUCCGUAAACCACAUAAUCCCCACAUGACAAGGGAAAGACCAGGUGGAGGUAAUUGUAUCAUGGGUGCAGUUUCCCCCAUACUGUUCUCAUGAUAAUGAGUGAGUUCAACAAAAUCUGAUGGUGUUAUAAGUAUUUGGUAGUUCCUCCUACAUUCAUUUUCCUUCCUGACACCUUGUGAAGGACAUGCCUUGCUUCCCCUUUACCUUCCACCAUGGUUGUAAGUUUCCUGAGGCCUCCCCCACCUGCAGAACUGUGAGUCAAUUAAACCUCUUUCCUUUAUAAAUUACUCUGUCUUGGGAAGUUCUUUAUAGCAUUUUGAAAAUGGACUAAUACAGAGUUCUCAAAGUACUUUGCAAAGGUGACUCAGCUCUAUCAUAAUGGGAGAUAAUGCACUUCUUUUGGGAGGUCCCUCUGUAACUCAUAUUCUAUGGUUAUUCCAGGUCUCAAGGGUUUUGUGUGUGUGUGUGUGUGUGGGUACAUAGUAGGUAUAUUUAUGGGGUAAAUGAGAUGUUUUUAAGGUCUCAAGUCUUCUCCAAAAAAUGGAUUCUGAAUUUUCACAAACUCUAAUCCAAAAUAAGUAUUUCCACAGCAUAUGACACUGAUAGCUUUUGGGGUCAUUUGGAGCUACUGCAGACCUGUAUCAAAUUAUUACCUGUGAGAACUAGGUUAAGCACCAAAAAAGCACCAUUUUUCCAAAUCUCAGGACUUCAAACAAGCAUUUUUAUAGGCAAGACAGAUGGUAAAGUUUAUCUUGAUUGAUUCUUAAGGACCUGGCCUCCAAGAUAAGGAGUUAGCUUGCGGAACUUCUGAUAUAAUGCUGAGGGCGACUCAGAACCAUCCAUAUGAUAAAACAGCUGCAAUUGCAAUGGAGUUCAAUACCUAGUCAUACCAGGAUUAUAACUGGUUCUCCCUCAAGCAUGAAUGCUGAGUAGAGGAAUAGUGCUGACAACCAAGGUUCUGACAUAUCUUACUGCUAUCAGGAUUAGAUUAUUUUCAGGAAUGAUAACCAAAAUUAUCACUGGGAUGGCAUGGGAGCCAAGCAAUUAGAAUAGAUGCUGUGAUUGAUGGAAUUCUAAAGAUUUCAUUCCAAGUUUUCCUUACCCUGGUUAUUUGAUCAAACACU